rnacentral:rRNA from 1 species
GACGUAGGGUGCAAGCGUUGUCCGGAUUUAUUGGGCGUAAAGAGUUCGUAGGUGGUUUGUUAAGUCUGAUGUUAAAGACUGGGGCUCAACCUCGGGAGUGCAUUGGAUACUGGCAGACUGGAGUGUAGUAGAGGCAAGCGGAAUUCCCAGUGUAGCGGUGAAAUGCGUAGAUAUUGGGAAGAACACCGGUGGCGUAAGCGGCUUGCUGGGCUAUAACUGACGCUGAGGAACGAAAGCUAGGGGAGCAAAUGGG